CUUGUUUCUCUCAAAUGGUACAGUGUGUAAUUGUGUUAUUCUUAUUUGGUGUUUGUGUCCAAAAAAGGCUCUCUGAGCUUUCUCUAUAUAAAUACGCAUGUGUUCACUAACUAAUCUAAAACAAGACACCUGCUUAGGCUUUCAGCUAACAUUCCAAUCGGCC